UUAGCCAUUUGGGACCUUUGCGUAAUAUUAUGCCAGUUUUGGACAGUUACAAAAAGAAGUAAAGUUUUGUUCUUUCAUUCGUUACGAUAUUCUAAUGUCAUUGGUGCAAGUUCAAAAAACUUUUAAGGCAAUUUUUUAAUGUUUAUGAGUGUUUCUUGAAUUUUCGUCAAUUUACAUAUUAUUUCACCAUUGGUGGGCAGUUAUGAAAGAAGUAAAGUUUUAUUUUGUUAUUUGUCAUGAUAUUCUAAGAUUAUUGGUAAAGGUCAAAAUAUUCUGGAGUUGUUUUUUGCAUUGUUUAUUUGUGUAUCGUUAUUUUCUACCAUUUGAGUAAUAUUCUGCCAUUUUCGGGCAGUUAUGAAAAGAAGUAAAGUAUUGUUUUGCUAUUCGUCACGAUAUUCAAAGGUCAUUGUUGCAAGUCCAAUUUUUGUUUUAGGCUUUUUUAUUGUAUUUUUUUAUGUGUCUAUCUUGUUUUUUCAUCAAUUUUGGGGCAUUACGUAGUAUUCGGCCAUUUUUAUGCAUAUAAGAAAAGAAGUAUUAUUUUUUUUGUACUCGUCACAAUAUUCUAUGGUCAUUAGUGCAAGUCAAAGAAUAUUUGAUGUGCUUUUUUUAUUGUUUAUGGGUGUUUCUGGAUUUUUUGCUAUUUUGGGUCAUUGAAGUAAUAAUCUUUCAUUCUUGGGAAGUUACGAAAAGAAGUAAAAUUUUGUUCCUUUUAUUCCUCAUGAUAUUCUAAGGUGCACAUACGCAGAAGAAUUUACGAGUCAAGGAUUGAAUUUGUGGCUUUUUAGGCCAUAUUGUGUCUGAAGAGUGAAUGGAAGUUGAUACUCAGUAUUUGAGGCAGUGCAGAUUUUUCCUAGACCCAUAUCUCAAACUGAUAUGAGGAGUUUCUUUGUUUUGGCUAGCUAUUAUAGAAGGUUAGUUGAGGGGUUCUCGUCCAUUACAUCUCCUAUGACGAAAUGGACUCAGAAGAAAAUUACGUUUCAAUGGUCUGAAACUUGUAAGAAAAACAUUCAGGAAUUAAAAAAGAGGUUGACUAAUACCCCAAUUUUGACCCUACAAGAGGGUACACAAGGUUUUGUUAUGUAUUGUGAUGCGUCUACAGUUUGUUGUGGCUGCGUAUUAAUAUAGAAUGGUAAAGCUAUUGCUUAUGCCUCCAUAUAUUUGAAAGUUCAAGAGAAUAACUACCUACCACAUGACUUGGUUGUUGUAGUAUUUUCUAUGAACAUAUGGUGUCACUAUUUGUAUGGUAUUCAUGUUGAUGUAUUCACUGAUCACAAGAUCCUUCAAUAUGUCUUCACUCAAAAAGAUCUUAAUCACAGACAAAUGAGGUGUUUAGAAUUGAUCAAAGAUUAUGACAUGAGUAAUAAUUAUCACAAGGUAAGGCUAAUGUUGUUGCUAAUGCCUUAAGCAGGUUGCCUAUUGGUAGUACCACCGAUGUUGAGGAUGAAAAGAGUGAGUUAGAGAAAGAUGUACAUAGACUUGCAUGAUUAGGAGUCAGACUAAUGGAUUCCACGGAAGGAGGAGUAGCGAUGAAUGGGGUUGAAUCAACAUUAGUGUCAGAAGUGAAAGAAAAGCAAGACCACGACGCUAUUUUUCUUGAAUUGGAGGCAAUUGUCAUAAGAAAAAGUAUUGUCCUUUGAAUAAGAGGGAUAUGGCGUAUUAAGUUAUCAAGGUAGAAUGUGUGUACCAAUGGUGUAUCUACUCCAAGAGAGGAACAUGGAGGAAGCUCAUAGAUUUGAAUAUUCCAUUCAUUUGGGUUCCAAAAAGAUGUAUCGUGACUUGAUAAAGGUUUAUUGGUGGAAUAUUAUGAAGAAGUAAUUGCAGAUUUUGUUGCUAACUGGCAAAAUUACAAACAAGAUAAAGUAGAGAACCAAAGGCCCGGUGGUUUUGAUUAUAAUAUUAAUCUUACGAAAUGGAAAUGGGAGAUGAUAAAUCUGAAUUUUAUCACACCCUCAUAGGUUUACCAAGGUCUCCUAAGCACCAUGAUUCCGUUUGGGUGAUCGUCAAUAGAAUGACAAAAUUAGCCCACUUUUCGAUGGUAAAAACCAUCCAUUCGGCAAAAGAUUAUGUUAAGUUAUAUCUCCAAGAAGUAGUUAGACUUCAUGGUGUUCCAGUCUCCAUUAUUUCAUAAAAAGGUGCACAAUUUAAUACACAAUAAUCGAAAUCUUUUAGGAAAGGGUUGGGUUGAAAGGUGAACUUAAGUACCACAUUUAAUCCUUAGACUGAUUGCAAGCAGAUUGCACUAUAUAGACACUAGAGGAUAUAUUGGGGGCAUAUAUGAUCGAUUUUAAUGGUAAUUGGGGUGAUCACCUACCUCUUAUCGAGCUCACUUACACAAUAUUUACCACUCUAGAAUCCAAAUGGCUCCUUAUGAAUAUCAUUAAGGAAGAAGAUGCAUAUCUCCUAUUGGAUUGUUUGAAAUUUGUUAAGUAGAGUUGAUAGGACCAGAUGUAGUUCAUCAAGCUAUGGAGAAGAUAAAAGUUGUUCGAGAAAUGUUGAAAAUAGCAUAGAGUUGUCAUAAAUCCUACAUUGAUGUUUGGAAAAGAGAGUUAGAGUUUGAAGUAGAUGAUUGGGCGUAUUUAAAAGUUUCACCCAUGAAUGGUGUUGUGAGGUUUAGUAAGAAGGGGAAACUUAGUCCCUGGUAUAUUGGACCUUAUCGAAUAUCCAAGAGGAUUGUCAAUGUAGCUUAGCAGUUGCAGCUACCACAAGAGUUUGUCGCGGUUCAUUCGGUGUUUCACCUCUCCAUGUUGAAGAAGUUCAUGGGAGAUCCAUCAUUGAUCAUACCAAUUUAAGAUAUUGGGAUCAAGUAUAACUUAUCUUAUGAGGAGAUUCUUGUUCGAAUUCUAGAUCGCCUAGUUCACAAGUUGAGGUCAGAAGACGAAGCAUCAGUCAACGUCCUUUGGAGGAACCAAUUGGUUGAGGAAGAUAAUUGGGAAGCUGAGGAUGAUAUUAAGAAGAUAUAUUCACAUAUUUUUUAAUAUGAAGUAAGCGCAAACCAAGGUUUCGAUCGUUAAAGGGUUCAUGCCCAGUUUGCAAGAAGGCUUGGAUCAUUCCUCCUAGUGUGGGUAUGUCCUCAUGUUCCGAGCAGGAUGCCUUUCUUACUCUAUCUAUGUUGCAUUGUUAUAAUAUAAAAACAAUCAUUUGUCUCUUUUUGUUUCAAUACAUUGUUCUAUGCCCUAAGUGGAAUUUUUUUUGUAAGGGUUUUGCCCAUAUUGUUCGAUUUCAUUUAGAUGGUUCAAUAUGAGACAUCCCAUUUAAGACUC